GUGCGGAAGACACAUUGAAUUGCUGUUACAUGACGGGCUAUAAAAUGCUGCCAGUGACCUUCUUCCCUCUUCUCAUCAUUACAUGUGGUAAGUUGUACGAGUAUGUGGUUAUGGGCAGGUAAAACGUGAUGAUGAUGAUGCUGAUGAUGGUAGGUCACUUUGUCAAGGGGCUGAACUGCUGGGUUGGGGUUAGGCUAGAACCUUAAUGUGAUUAACAUACAUUUAUGAAGCUUAAAAAGUGCAGAUGAUUUGGAUUCAAUUUCCAAAACAGUUUUGUGUUACAAAUAUAUUAUAUAAUAUACACACACACAUACACAUACAUUUUCAGAACCGCUUGUCCCAUACAGGGUCACGGGGAACCGGAGCCUACCCGGCAACACAGGGCGUAAGGCUGGAGGGGGAGGGGACACACCCAGGACGGGACGCCAGUCCGCCGCCGCCGCCGUAUAUAUAAUAUACAUUUUCUAUUAAUUCUACACUUGUUUGUCUAUCGGUAUGAUAUCAGAACACGAAAUAGCUUGGAGGUUCUGUUAUUUUCAAGUUAUUGUUCCAAUUAUUAAAAAAUAAGACUGACAGAAGUUGAGUUAGACAAAAUAUUUUUUUAUUUUUCCCCAGUAAAAUGAGUUUCAGUGCAGUGACUCCGUGCGUCUCCACAGCUCAUCUUUCGGAGUCCACAACACUGAGUCGAGUGGCUGUUGACGUGAAACGCUCCGCCAUCCUGCCCUGCACUCACACCGUCCACAAAGGUCUCACUGAGGUCACAUGGAGAGCAGGCAGUGAGGAACUGGUCGCUUCUUACCUACAGGGGAAUCUCACAGUAGGUCCUGGGUUCGAGAGCAGAGUCCAUCUGUCCACGGAGGGGAUUGAGGGCGGAAACCUCUCCCUCAUCAUCAGUUCUGUUGAGUACAAUGAUGCAGAUGUUUACAGCUGUUCCAGCGACAACGUUCAACUUUGUGAUGUCAGACUACAAGUUUUUGCGCCCACGGUGGACCCUGUACCAGUAGGGGACCGUGUCAAACUCCCCUGUUACGCCCCCAUCAACAGACAGACAGAAGACAGUCAGCUUAAUGUGCGCUGGGAGAAGGAGGGAAAAGUUGUUCUGCACCUUCAUUCUGGGUCCGUCACUCUGGGCUCCGGGUUCGAAAACAGGGUCAGUGUGUCUAAGGAGGACAUCAGAAAGGGUGACCUGUCACUGGUCUUCAACACGACGCUUUUCUCAGAUCACGGCAGCUACAGGUGCUUCUACAACAAGGAGAAAACGGCAGGAGAUCCUGAGGAAAUUAAACUUACAUUUACAGGUACAGUGUGAUUAACGUCCUGUUUGAAUUUGUUGUGAAGGAUCUUCUAGUCUGAAUGUCUUAAAACUUGUAUUGAACAUAGUUUACAGUUCAAAUAUUCUUGGAUAUGUGUUCAAGUGCUCAGGAAACUGAGUCUCACUGACUGGAAAAGUCUAGAAUAACUUUGGUUUAGCUGAUGGCCUCAUCGCUGAUCGAGCUACAGAGGAGCACAGCUGGUCCC
rnacentral:lncRNA from 1 species